rnacentral:rRNA from 1 species
UACGUAGGGUGCAAGCGUUGUCCGGAAUUAUUGGGCGUAAAGAGCUCGUAGGCGGUUCGUCGCGUCGGCUGUGAAAUCCCGGAGCUCAACUCCGGGUCUGCAGUCGAUACGGGCGGACUCGAGUUCGGCAGGGGAGACUGGAAUUCCUGGUGUAGCGGUGAAAUGCGCAGAUAUCAGGAGGAACACCGGUGGCGAAGGCGGGUCUCUGAGCCGAUACUGACGCUGAGGAGCGAAAGCGUGGGGAGCGAACAGG